CGAGCCUGUACAGAGAAAACUGAUUGUAAGCGAUAUUUGUAUUGUUCACCUAAUUCAUCCUGUAAAUUAUAUCAAGAUGGUAGAGAUUGUGUUAUGUCUGGUGACACAACUGGUUGUUCCUGUUACACACAGGACAUUCGUUGCGAAGAUGACGAUUGUACCUGUCCAUUAGGUAAAUAUGGAGAAGACUGUCAAGAUAUCAUAUCAGAUUGCACCGAAGGUUCAGAGAAAGGUUUGAGAUCAACUAAUGAUGUAUUGACAACCAUAAAGCCGCUUGCGUCUCCUGAUUCUCUUGAAGUACUCUGUACAUUUGACGAUGGUGGAUGGACUGGAAUACUCGGCCGUAAUAAGGACUGUUUACGUGAGAACUUUAAUAGAACUCUGGAAGAAUAUGAAGAGGGUUUUGGCAAUGUCACGUCUAACAAAUGGCUAGGUUUGAAACAAGUACUCUCGCUACUUGGUAAUCCCGACAGUACCUACAAACUACGAGUAGUCCUGGUUAAACCAGAUGCGUCAACUUGCGUCAGUCAGUACUCCAACUUUGCUAUCGGUAAUAAAUCGACGUCCUAUACAUUAUAUAUUAGUGGCUACACUGGGGUUGGACCAUCAUGUGGGGACAGUUUGACUGGUACUAUCAACUUGAACAACAACUCCUUCUCUACAUACGAUGUUGAUUAUACUGAAAACUGGGAAUGUGCCAAGAGAUUCGGGGGCGGAUGGUGGUAUGCUAGUCAUGUCGACUGCACCGGUAGCCUUUUAACCGGAUCAAUGAAUGGCUCCAAAACAGAAAAUUUUUGGAAUGAAAGUCUGUCAGAUUCUGCAUUGAAUCAAAUAUAUUUACAAUUACAAAGGAAUUGAUAAACCCAUUGAGAAAGGUAUUAUCACUUUUCGGGAAGAUUCUCAGUCGAUCCCAAAUUAUGCAUACUUCUAAUUUGAAUAUAUCCAAUGUUACUGAAUACUGAAACCACCUAGCAUCGAGUAUAUGCAAUUCUGAACGUUAUCCUAUUUAAUAUAAACCAUGGCUCAUUAACUACCGAAAAUAGAGGAACUGAACAACUUAACGUGUGAACACUCCUUGAAACCCACUAUAUAUUAAACAUUAAAAUUUAAAGAGCCAAUCUCAAUUAUAUUUGGCAGAAUAAAACUGUUUUAUUUUGUGUUAAAAGCCCUUAAAAUCCUCUCCCUUAGGGCCGAGCAACCAACUCAAUAUUAUACAUGAUACGUUUUCAAACAACUUAAACCCCCUCAGUCUUCAUCUGGAAAGGUUUAUUGAAAUAAACAUAACCGCACAUAAAAGAAACAAUA